GGCUCAGGACGAACGCUGGCGGCAGGCCUAACACAUGCAAGUCGAACGGUAACAGGAAGCAGCUUGCUGCUUUGCUGACGAGUGGCGGACGGGUGAGUAAUGUCUGGGAAACUGCCCGAUGGAGGGGGAUAACUACUGGAAACGGUAGCUAAUACCGCAUAACGUCGCAAGACCAAAGAGGGGGACCUUCGGGCCUCUUGCCAUCGGAUGUGCCCAGAUGGGAUUAGCUAGUAGGUGGGGUAAAGGCUCACCUAGGCGACGAUCCCUAGCUGGUCUGAGAGGAUGACCAGCCACACUGGAACUGAGACACGGUCCAGACUCCUACGGGAGGCAGCAGUAGG
rnacentral:rRNA from 1 species